UGGGGAAUAUUGCACAAUGGGCGCAAGCCUGAUGCAGCCAUGCCGCGUGUGUGAAGAAGGCCUUCGGGUUGUAAAGCACUUUCAGCGAGGAGGAAGGGUAGUGUGUUAAUAGCACAUUGCAUUGACGUUACUCGCAGAAGAAGCACCGGCUAACUCCGUGCCAGCAGCCGCGGUAAUACGGAGGGAGCAAGCGUUAAUCGGAAUUACUGGGCGUAAAGCGCACGCAGGCGGUUUGUUAAGUCAGAUGUGAAAUCCCCGCGCUUAACGUGGGAACUGCAUUUGAAACUGGCAAGCUAGAGUCUUGUAGAGGGGGGUAGAAUUCCAGGUGUAGCGGUGAAAUGCGUAGAGAUCUGGAGGAAUACCGGUGGCGAAGGCGGCCCCCUGGACAAAGACUGACGCUCAGGUGCGAAAGCGUGGGGAGCAAACA
rnacentral:rRNA from 1 species